rnacentral:misc_RNA from 1 species
AUGGAAACGCGCGGAUUCACUCGGUUAUUGGAACCGUCAUUUUUAUUUGAUAUUUUAAUUUGUAAUGAAUUUUUAUUUAUUUUGUAUUAACUUUGCGGAAAAUCCGCUGAAAUGGAAGAUUUUACGAGCUCACAAUUACAACUGGUUUUAGGAGUAAAAGAAGGUUGCAAUUUUGAUAGGGUGCAGAAACCAACUGUCAUUAUUGCUACUCUAAAUGGACAAUGUAUCGAAACUAAAAAGAUUCAACCUGAUUGCAACCCACAAUUUUGCACAGAUUUAAUUUGGGAAACCGAUAAAAAUGGGUUUAGACGGAUGAGAAGUAAUCAAACCCCCAUAAAAGUUGAAUGUUAUGCUAUAAAUGAAAAUGGUAGUAGAGAAAAACUUGGGUACAUUUUAUUGAGUGUACGAUGUGCCCAGAUUAUUCAACCCAAUGGAGAAUCUAACAUAAAAACAAAUUGGCACAAUAUUUUAGGAGUCAAAAAUGAUUUCAACAAUUGCAAACCUAGACUAUUAAUGUACUUGAUCAUUAGAGAAAAAGAAAAUAAAAAUGCAAUUAUUCCAAAGGUUGACAACUUCAGCAAUUUACAUCCACUCAAAUCAAAUAUUGUACCUUUGUGGUUGCCAGAUGAGCAUUUGAUUCAACUAGGUCCAUUAGAAUUGUGUCAAGAUGUAUUUCAAUUAUAUAUUGCCACACAUGCAUUAACACAUCUAACUUCUUUUUUUGAUGAGUUUCCUAAAAGUGAAAAUAACAAUUUUGUUAUUGUUUUAAAUAUUUUGGGUACCUUUAUUCGCCUUAAACCUUUUAAAAUGGAGUCUGAUAACAUAUCUAUCAAUGAAAAAAUUGUUAUUAAAAUAAGAACUUCAUUACCUGUUUUAAGAGAUUAUUUACUGACUAGACCACAUUUUAUAGUCAAAUUAAAGCAUGAAAAUGUAACAAUUGGUAUUUCGGAAGUGAAUUUAAAAUCAUUAAUUAAAGUGGAUGAUUUACAAUGUUUUAUAGAAAUGGAAAGCAAUUAUGUACCAGUAGAGUUUAAUUGUAUUUUUAAACAUGUGUGUUCAAAAGGAGGUAAAGGAGAUUGUCAAGGAGGUGAUGAAUUUACAACAAUGCCUUGUUUGAGCAUUUCUGUUAAAUUAAAAUACUUCCAGUUAAAAAAGGUUUUUAAUGGAAAAACAUUUCAUCCUCUUUCACCUUCUGUAAGACAAAGCAAAAGUAAUGUAGCACAAAUUUCAAAUCACAAUAGCUGUUCAAAUGGAUCCACAUCUAAUGAACACUCAGAACUUAACCCAAAUCAAAAAAGUAAUAGAAACAUUGAUAAAAUCGAUCACAAGAUGUGUUCCGUCCCAAGAGAAAAAUUAUAUACUCUAGACAAUGGCAAUAAUACAGCUGAAGCACAAAAUAUUCACAGAAGUUACAGUUUAAAAAUAACUUUGAAAAAUAUUACAUUUCUAUUUUCAAAAAAUGAUGUGCAAAUCGUGGAGUUCAGAUUUUAUAACUCAUUGGGUGAAAUUAUAAAUAAUGCUGUUAGUCACGUUGAUGGGAUUUCAGCUGAUAAAGCAAUAAAUCUUAAAGAUAUAAAUUGUAAACUUCAUUUCAUUUGUACUCCUGAUCAAAUAUUCAAAUUGCUAGAUACAUUUGCUCCAAAAAUCAAUGUAUGCGAUGCAACUGCAAUUGAAACUAAAUGUCUUGCUCAAGUGGAAAUAAACUUUCAACAACUUUUGGACAACAAAAAAAUUGAAUGCACUGAAUUGGUUCAUUUAGUAGAUUGUAGUACUCAUGAAAAAAUUGGCAAUGGAUCUGUACAUAUUCAGCUUGAAGAUCACACUAUGACAGCAUUGAAAAAAGUCAACACAGGAAAUUUUGAAGAUAUACUAAAUAAUAGUAUGGCUUAUAAAAUUAUUGAUGAACUAGAAACUUGGAAAGAAAGGCAAAAAGAUAUAUUUAAAAAUGAGUUACGUAAAAAAGAAGAAGCACAUUUUACCUUAUUGAACGAAGAAUGGCGACGACGCAAGGAAUACUUGGAGUCCAAAUUAACUAACAGUAUGCAACAGUGUAAAAUUUUGGCCAAUGAUUUAACUAAAACGACAGAAGAUUUGCGUGCGCGAAAAAUAGAAAGUUUAGAAAAAGAAUCUAAAUUAAUUCAAGCUAAUGAUGAAUUGCAAUGGAAAUACGAUCGCAAACUACAACAGCUUCAAGAGGCAUUGCAGAAAAUGCAAGAAGAGUUUACAUCAAAACUAAUGAAAUUGGAACAUGAAAAUCGAAAUUUACUCUCUCAAAUCGAAAAUUUGACAGUAAAAAAUCUCGAGCUUGAAAAAUUCAAAAGAAGACAAACCGAAAACGUAAGUACAAUGGAAAAAUCUUCAUUAACAGAAGAGCGAACCAAUUCGGUCCUGCAGCAAUUGAAAAAUCUUGAGGAAAAGUUAGACAAUGCUCAAAAGAAUAAUGACUACUUCAAAGAAAAAUGGAACCAAGCGAAGAAAGAGAUUCACAACAUAAAAAUUCAAAAUCAAUUAGCACUGGAAUCAGAAAUAAAAAGUAGCAGGCAGGAAUUACAUAAUACAACUUUAGAUUUAGAAGAAUUAUUAAAUGCAGACACAGCUGCAUUGAAACAUGAUAAAAUGGCAUUAAUUAAUAUACAACAAGAAAUUAACAACUUAAACUCAGAAUCGCAGUUGCAGAUCCUAGAAACGAAGGCCAAUAAAGAUCACCAACAUUUAUUCGAGUCUGCUAUGAUGAAUCCAGAUUUUCAUCUAAACUUGGAUGGAGUGAACUUUUCAAACUCGGAUUCGGCGUCAACGAGUACAAGUUCUGAUCAAAAAUUACGCAUGCUCAUAAAACAACGCGAUAAUCUCGUGAAUUCUGGAAAUUAUUCUAGCAACAACAGUAUUAUAGUGAAAUUAAGUAGUGACAUAAGGUCUAUGCUUAUAAAUAGUUAACGUAAAUUAUUUUGUAUGAGUAAAUUUUCUACAUGGCUUCGACUCGACUGAUCAUUACCGGCUGAUACCUGGCAAGUGGUAAAUUAUGUUAAUCUACUUUGACUUUGUAAAAAAAUGGCACGAUAUCCAACGAGACUUUGUAAUCUAGAGUUAUAGGACCAACCC